rnacentral:rRNA from 1 species
CACGUAGGGUGCGAGCGUUGUCCGGAAUUAUUGGGCGUAAAGAGCUCGUAGGCGGUGUGUCGCGUCGGCCGUGAAAACCUGCAGCUUAACUGUGGGCUUGCGGUCGAUACGGGCAUCACUGGAGUUCGGCAGGGGAGACUGGAAUCCUGGUGUAGCGGUGAAAUGCGCAGAUAUCAGGAGGAACACCAAUGGCGAAGGCAGCACUCUGGGACGUGACUGACGCUGAGGCGCGAAAGCGUGGGGAGCGAACAGG